AGAGUUGUAGCUCAGUGGGAGAGCAUCUGCACUGCAAGCAGGAGGCCCCAGUCUCUAUCCCUGGCAUCUCCA